rnacentral:lncRNA from 1 species
AAGGUGCAGCACCAGUUUGAAUUUGAAUACCAGACCAAAGUGGAUGGUGAAAUAAUCCUUCAUCUUUAUGACAAAGGAGGAAUUGAGCAAACAAUUUGUAUGUUGGAUGGUGUGUUUGCAUUUGUUUUACUGGAUUCUGCCAAUAAGAAAGUGUCCCUGGACAGAGAUACAUAAGGAGUCAGACCUUUGUUUAAAGCAGUGACAGAAGAUGGAUUUUUGGCUGUGUGUUCAGAAGCUAAAGGU